UAGGGAAUCUUCGGCAAUGGGGGGAACCCUGACCGAGCAACGCCGCGUGAGUGAAGAAGGUUUUCGGAUCGUAAAGCUCUGUUGUUAAGGAAGAACGAGUGUGAGAAUGGAAAGUUCAUACUGUGACGGUACUUAACCAGAAAGGGACGGCUAACUACGUGCCAGCAGCCGCGGUAAUACGUAGGUCCCGAGCGUUGUCCGGAUUUAUUGGGCGUAAAGCGAGCGCAGGCGGUUAGAAAAGUCUGAAGUUAAAGGCAGUGGCUCAACCAUUGUAGGCUUUGGAAACUGUUUAACUUGAGUGCAGAAGGGGAGAGUGGAAUUCCAUGUGUAGCGGUGAAAUGCGUAGAUAUAUGGAGGAACACCGGUGGCGAAAGCGGCUCUCUGGUCUGUAACUGACGCUGAGGCUCGAAAGCGUGGGGAGCGAACAGG
rnacentral:rRNA from 1 species